AACCCGGUUGACCCUGCCGGACCCCACUGCUAUCGGGAUAGGACUAAGACAUGCUAGUUGAGCCUUCCAGCCAACACGGGAGCGCAGUACAGCUCAGUAACACGUGGCUAACCUACCCUUGAGACGGAGACAUCCCCGGGAAACUGGGGCUAAUCCCCGAUAGAUGAGAACUCCUGGAAUGGGUUCCGUCCAAAAGCAUUAAGGCCAUGCUUCUUGAUGUCGCUCAAGGAUGGGGCCGCGACCGAUCAGGCCGUUGGUGAGGUAAUGGCUCACCAAACCUAUAACCGGUACGGGCCGCGGGAGCGGGAGCCCGGAGAUGGGAACUGAGACAAGGUCCCAGGCCCUACGGGGCGGCACAGUUGCGAAAACUCCGCAAUGCACGAAAGUGUGACGGGGCUACCCCGAGUGCUGUCCGCUGAGGAUGGCUUUUCCUUGGUUUAAGGAGCCGGGGGAAUAAGCGGGGGGCA
rnacentral:rRNA from 1 species